AUUUAUAUUGAUACAGGCUUAGGGAUUUGUACUCACUCAAGUGUAUACUUGCCUUCUUUCUUCAUCCUCUCUCUCACACACACGCGCGCGCGCACACACACACAUGCAGGGAACGCAGAUACUGGGAGAGUGGCAAGGAGAGCAGAGACUAAAACAGCAUGGAGGGCCCCAGAGAUAGAGGCAAGGAGUCAGAAGUGAAAGCAUCAUCCGGAGGGGAAGGAGAGAGAUGAAAUGAGAAGCAGAGCCGAGAGACCAAACCUGGGCAGCAAGGGAGCAGACCCAGAACCCCCUAGACUUGACAUGGACACCAGUGGAGAUUUAUCCCCACUCUUGGGCUCCCACAGCGCAUCAGUGGGUCUGAAGGCCAGAGUGGGAUCCACCAGUUAUGUAGUCAAUCCUAAUAAGAAGAAAUGGCCACUUUGACCAGGGCUGGAGAUUCAAAUGGCUUCCAUGGUGGCUAAGAUGGUAAAGAAUAUGCCUGCAAUGUGGGAGACACGGAGAUUCAAGAGGAGAGAGAACGAAGACUAAUGUUAGCCUGACUUGGUGGUGGAUGGACUCUGGGGUGAAGGAUGGUUAGGUGUGUUUUUACCUUCGGUGUUGCCAGCAGGAAACCAGUUCAGAGAGAUAAAGUGAGACCCCAAGCCUCUCUCAAUUAGCAUUGAAAAGGACACACACUAAUUUUUUAAAAAUCAAUCUGCCUUAAAAUACGGUCUUCAAACCAGGACACUACUAACUGUUAAGCCCAACUUGGACCAUAAAGAGAGAGCUGGACCAUAAAGAAGGCUGAGUGCCAAUGAAUGGAUGCUAUUGAACUGUGGCGCUGGA
ensembl:lncRNA